CCUACGGGAGGCAGCAGUGGGGAAUAUUGCGCAAUGGGGGAUACCCUGACGCAGCGACGCCGCGUGAGCGAAGAAAGCCUUAGGGUUGUAAAGCUCUGUUGUAAGGGAAGAAGUUCUUGAGCAAUAAUACAGCUUGAGAGUGACGGUACCUUACUAGAAAGCCCCGGCUAACUACGUGCCAGCAGCCGCGGUAAGACGUAGGGGGCGAGCGUUGUCCGGAAUUACUGGGCGUAAAGAGCACGUAGGCGGAUAUUUAAGUCAGAUGUGAAAGACCGCAGCUCAACUGCGGGGUUGCAUUUGAAACUGGGUAUCUUGAGGGCAGGAGAGGGCAGUGGAAUUCCUGGUGUAGCGGUGAAAUGCGUAGAAAUCAGGAGGAACACCAGUGGCGAAGGCGACUGUCUGGACUGACCCUGACGCUGAGGUGCGAAAGCGUGGGUAGCAAACAGGAUUAGAUACCCGUGUAGUC
rnacentral:rRNA from 1 species